UUUAUAUUCUCCGCCUCCCCAUUUUUUCAUUAAAAUCUCUCCCACGUCUCUCCUCAUUGGAACCAAACAAACCCUGAAGGAAGUUUAUCAGAGAGAAUCCUGUUGUCUUCUUUUGCGCUAAACCUGUCUCGCUUAAUCCAUUUCUUCCUCGGUCAUCGGGGAACGGCCGCUCGCCAAAAUCGGUUGUGUUCGCUGCUUUGGCGGAGGUCGUAGAAGGGGAUGCUGAGCAGGAGGAAGGCAGCGGCGUCGCGGUUGCGGUUCCUCCGAAGCAUAAGAAAGGGAAGGCAGCGUUGCGCUGCGUUGCCUUUGAAGAGAGAGAGAGCCAUUUCGGAAGAAUUUAAUCGAUCGAGUCUUACCUGAAGAACGCUUGCAAAAGGUUUGUGGUGGAGUUCAAGCUUGCUUUCAUCACUGAUAACAGUCCGAACAAAGAUAUCAAUAUCUCGUUCUACAACUUCCCCUUGAUUAAGAGGACGGAGAUCGGAAAGUUAGUGUGGGUUAGCGGUGUGGAUGGGCACACGCACCAGUGAGGUUCGCCCGGAGCUUCUUCUCGGCACAUUCAAGUGAUUAGAAUGUGGAAACUUCAUAAAAGACGUUGAACAGCCGUUCAAAUACACUGAGAACAAAGUGGGCUUUGCUGAGACAAGAUAGCAAAUUAACAGAUUGGCAGAGGGUCCAUAUGCAAGAGACAUCAAAGGAAAUACCUCCACGUUCGCUACCGAGAUCGCUUGAUGUCAUCCUUCUCCGUGAUAUUGUUGAGCAAGCCAAGGCAGGCGACCGUGACUUUUUCUGUGCAAAUCUAAUUAAGAAUCUUAGACAUUUCCAGCUUUAUUGCAGCAAUUGUUCACAAUUUUGUAAAUUCACAUGUUGCAGGGUUGUGUUUAUUGACACUCUUGUUUCUUUGCCUGAUAUUCUAGCAUUGGUCUCUCCUGAGGAAAGAGGCAAAUGUCGCCGGGAAUCCUCUAGUAAUAUGGUGUUUUCUUGUCUCUUCAAAUAUUUGUGAUGGGAGAAGGGUUGCUGAUAUUUGUAACAGGGGAGAUGAUGAACAUGAUAGUUGUUCUGAUCUUAGCUAUUUCUCCAUCUUUUUAAUUCACUUUCCAAACAAUUCCAUUAAAAUAUAGUUCAUUAUAAAAUCUUUUGAAUUCCCCCUGUUCUAUAUUUUUGAGACGGAUAUGGUAUUGUAACACAAUAGAACUUUAAAGAUGGAGAAUUUUGUUAUGCUGAGCACACUAUGCUUUUCAUAUAAAGUCAUGUUGAUCAAUAGUAUAUAUUGAAAAUUCAUACUUCUUCCAUGUUGCCUGCAGCCACAAGAUUCGGAUGAAAGCCAUCAGAUGAAGUACACACCUGACUUCUUCAAUAAGCUUGUUGAUAGCAUUGCACCUCAUGCUUAUGGGAGGCAUCCAUAAAAUUGCACAUGAAGGCAUCAACUUAAGGGGUGAUAUAAAUGUUUGCAUUGAUCUCUUGAACAUAUAUUUUUAUAUAUUCAUAUUGUCUGAUUCCUUGUUAGGGCCGACUGGGUAAUCUCACGGUCGAGCCUAAUACCCUGCAAAUUAAGGCCGACAAGGCAAGUCAGAUGAACCAUGUGUGAUAGUUGGACCUGGAGACGUCGGGUUUGAAUACAUGACCUCACGGCCACAAGUUCACUCCCUACGCCACCAGGUAACUUGUUGAUAGAAAUGGAAACAUUUUGCCUGGUAUGUAAUCCAAUAUUAGGCAAUGAUGACCCCUGUCUCCCAUAACCAAAAUUAGGUGGAGGAUUGUUAUGAAAUUUUGGUCAAUGAGAUUUGUAUUGAGACCAAUAUUGUAUCCAUACGCCAAGACACAUACAUGAUUUAAUUUGUGGCCCAAUUGGAACCCGGCCCUAACCCGUGACCCGUCACCUGCGACCCGGCACUCGGGACCUGUGUGUUUAUUAGACCCACAUCGUAUGCCGUUCGAUCAAAGGAUUUCUUACUGGCCAUUGAUUUGAUUUGAUCCAUUAUAUAUCUAUAUGGAUUGGGAGGGAGCCGUAGGGAUUAAUACACCCACUCAUUCAUAUCAUUCAACUCUCUCUACCUUCUUCUCUCUCACUUCACUCUACACCGCGAUACUGUUCUUGGCCGCGGAACUCUUCUGGAAAGUCUCUGCUCUUGAGCUUGUUUCUCCCCCGGUUUGCACGUCUACGAACUACAAGGGGUUCAAUUUGUCGGUUGUGGUUUCGUCUGUACCUGUGAUAUUAUUUUGUCCACUGUUUUGUGCCGUAAGUCUUCUUCUUCGUAUGUGGGGGUUGUUUUUUUGUGUAGGUUAAAGGUCUCGGGCCGGUUUCGAUGUGUUUGUCGCGAUUUACAUGUGUUUGUGUCGAUAUUGUGUACUUUGGGAGUUUUUGGGGGUUGAGCCUAAAAACCAAGCCCUAGUUCAAACUUUUCUUUAUUUACGU